GGGGAUUUAGCUCAGUGGUAGAGCACUUGCCUAGCAAGUCCAAGGCCCUGGGUUCAGUCCCCA
rnacentral:tRNA from 1 species